rnacentral:rRNA from 11 species
GUAUAGGGUCAAAAUAUUCUAAAGGGCAUUAGAUCCCAUCUGAUCUUAGAAGUUAAGCAGAGUCAAUUCUGAUUAGUACUUGGUGCUGCAGAUUAUAUUUCAGAGGAAGAAACUGGCAAAACCUGUUCU